AGCGAACGCUGGCGGCAUGCUUAACACAUGCAAGUCGCACGGCGGGGGCAACUCCGUCAGUGGCGGACGGGUGAGUAACGCGUAGGAAUCUAUCCUUGAAUGGGGGACAACCGUGGGAAACUACGGCUAAUACCGCAUGAUGCCUGAGGGCCAAAGACGAAAGUCGUUUGAGGAGGAGCCUGCGUCUGAUUAGGUAGUUGGUGGGGUAAAGGCCGUACCCAAGCCUACGAUCAGUAGCUGGUCUGAGAGGAUGAUCAGCCACAUUGGGACUGAGACACGGCCCAAACUCCUACGGGAGGCAGCAGUGGGGAAUAUUGGACAAUGGGCGCAAGCCUGAUCCAGCAAUGCCGCGUGGGUGAAGAAGGUCUUCGGAUUGUAAAGCCCUUUUGGCGGGGACGAUGAUGACGGUACCCGCAGAAUAAGCUCCGGCUAACUUCGUG
rnacentral:rRNA from 1 species